UAGGGAGGAAGGUAGUGUAGUUAACACCUGCAUUUAUUUGACGUUACCUACAGAAGAAGCACCGGCUAACUCCGUGCCAGCAGCCGCGGUAAUACGGGAGGGUGCGAGCGUUAAUCGGAAUUACUGGGGCGUAAAGCGCAUGCAGGCGGCCUGUUAAGUCAGAUGUGAAAGCCCGGGGCUUAACCUCGGAAUUGCAUUUGAAACUGGCAGGCUAGAGUCUUGUAGAGGGGGGUAGGAAUUUCAGGUGUAGCGGUGAAAUGCGUAGAGAUCUGAAGGAAUACCAGUGGCGAAGGCGGCCCCCUGGACAAAGACUGACGCUCAGAUGCGAAAGCGUGGGGAGCAAACAGGAUUAGAUACCCUGGUAG
rnacentral:rRNA from 1 species